rnacentral:ncRNA from 1 species
AAAAUGGCGUGGAUGAGAAAGAGUAACCGUUCUACAGCUUUUCAGAGAGCCUUUGGGUGGUGGAAAAAGGCAGGCUGCACGGCGAAUACAUCUCGGAGUCGACUGCCUGAACCAGAUUUGCAGUAGGGUUGUCCGGGUGUGCCCGUUACAGCAUGCUUGAGGUCAGCUGUUUUUUCUACAGCUGAUGAACUGAGGUGGUACCACGGUGAAUGAUAACAUCGUCCUCUGA